rnacentral:rRNA from 1 species
UACGUAGGGUGCUAGAGUUGUCCGGAUUUACUGGGUGUAAAGGGUGCUCAGGUGGGUUUGUAAGUCAGAGGUGAAAUCCCAAAGCUUAACUUUGGUGCUGCCUUUGAUACUGCAAGUCUGGAGUUUGAGAGAGGGUAAUGGAAUAUCUGGUGUAGCAGUGAAAUGCGUAGAUAUCAGAUAGAACACCAAUGGCGAAGGCAGUUACCUGGCUCAAUACUGACGCUAAAGCACGAAAGUGUGGGGAGCAAACAGG